AGGGGACGCACAGCCCACGCCCUAAGGAGCUUCGCCCCUAAAAGCUUAGUUUAUUCCCCCACUGAGCAAGACUACUUCGAUAAGCUUGCUGACCUCCAAGCUAUGACUUGCACAGAUUUCAUUUCUUACUAUAUGCAUAACUGGCACUUGUGUAAGGAAAUGUGGGUACAUGCAUAUCAGCAAGCCCUUCCUACAUUUUGUAAUAAUACUAAUAAUCGCAUUGAGUGCCACAAUCAAAAGAUUAAAAAUUAUCUCUCUUCAAGCAAGCAUUUGGUUCAAGCAAUAGAAGCAUUGGUAGGUUACAUUAAUAAUGAUUCUUUAUCUCUACAGUUCUCUAAGCUUAAUGAAAUGAAGCUGAACCUAAACAUAAAUGAGUUCAAUGACCCAUUUCAGCUAGAAUUGUCCCAUAAUUGCACUUCUGAGGCUACAAGUAAAGUACUAGAGCAGUAUGAGAAGUUUAAAAAUGUAAGUUAUCAAGUCACUUCCACUCCUAAUUCUUAUGUUGUAGUUUCACCAAGAUCACAGUACAGUGUUUCAUUGUGCUUGACUUCUUGCACAUGUGCUUUUUAUGACCAGUACACUCUGCCUGGUGCACAUUAUUUAGCAGUGCGUGACUUUACUAAGCAAGAUCUUUUCGACAAGGCUUGCAUACCAGACAGGUGGUGCAGGGAUCAUUUCCUGAGUGACAGCUGCACAACCACUAGUGCCACACCAGUGGUAACAAGCAGCAUUCAGUCACCACCCUGUGUGAAGCUUGACACUGCACAAGAGAAGUAUACUUAUGCUUAUAGGAGUCUUUGCGAAAUGUCAAAAACCGUGGCUAACGUAUUAUCUAAUUGUGGUGAGAAGGAGUUAAUGGAAAAACUUUCGUCCUGCGAGGCUUUCUUCAGAAAUUUAACCACAUUUCCUCGUAACCAAACUUCAGCAGCCAUAAAGGCUGCACCAGCUCAGUUACCACAAACUACUGCCACAAGUUAUCUUGCGCAUUCUGACAGUACAAAACUUGUGGUACCUUUGGUUAAAGCAAGAAGGGGGCGGCCAAAAAAAGUGAGAGCUGUCAAGCGUCAAUUUUUCCCAAAUCAAGGAAAAAAGAUAGGCCUUGCAACGGUUAAAGUAGACAAGCUAAAUGUCGACAAACGGUAUUCUCUUUAAGAUGCAGAUUUAAAUGUUCUGGUACAGGGCACCUCCAUAUCAGAUAGCGUAAUCAAUGUCGCACAGUAUUUAAUUCAGAAAAAAUAUCCUACUUAUGUCGACUUUCAAGAUGUCUUACUGGGCCGACGCUUACAAUUCACUCAAAUCAAAGGCCCUUUCGUUCAAAUCUUGCAUGUUCAGAACCCCAAUCAUUGGCUUACAGUAACAAUUGUUGGUGCGGACAAAAACACAGUCUUCAUAUAUAAUUCAAUUGAUCAAGAUAUCCCUCCUGACGCUGUUAGGCAAAUCUGUCAUAUUCUAAAAUUACAAUCGCCAACAUUAACCAUUCAAACAAUGAAGGCACAAAACCAAUGCAACACACUUCACUGUGGCUUGUUUGCAAUUGCUAACAUGUAUUAUAUAGCGUCAGGCAGAAAACCAGAAACUUUGAACCUUAACCAAGUUACGCUACGUAAACAUUUGCUGCAAUGCAUACAGAAUGGUAUGAUCGAAGACUUUCCCCUCAUAAACUCCAUGGCUGCUCGCGUACAGCCAAGAGAUAGUAUUUACAAGUUACAUUGUGUCUUCCGGCAACCACAAUAUAGUGGGGUAGUAUUGGACAUUACUUGUGCAGGUUGUUCAAGAGGAUUUCACAGAGCUUGUCUCGGCUCUUUAGCAGCUAACUUGGACAAAAAUGUAUUCGUGUGUUCUCAAUCAUGUUUUCUGGUUGACAAGGAAAAGAUACAUUCUCCUAAUUAAUAAUAGCAUUCCAUUUUGGUGUAGACAUAUGGCAAAAUUUCUAACCAUUCUUCAUGUCUCCUCCUCUAAUUUUUGCUUUUCUUUAAAGGGCCACUGACCGGGUUUGGCGAUUUUGAGCUGACAAGAGCAAUGCGUCCAGUACAUUGUGGACUCACCCUGUUGUCAAGUCGUCAGGAAGUUGGAUGAUGCUGUCUUCUUCCAGCUAAAUUAUGCAACUACUAAGAAGGGGAGAAGAAUUCUAUUUUGUAGCAGUUAUUUUACAAAUAAAUGUUAGUAAAAUUUUU
rnacentral:misc_RNA from 1 species